rnacentral:rRNA from 1 species
AAUCAACGCUGGCGGCGUGCCUAACACAUGCAAGUCGAACGCGAAAGCCCCUUCGGGGGUAAGUAGAGUGGCGUCCGGGUGAGUAACACGUAGGUAAUCUACCUUCGGGUGGGGAAUAACCAGUCGAAAGAUUGGCUAAUACCGCAUAAUGCAGCGGCACCUAAUGGUGAUUAGUUGUUAAAGCGGGGGAUCGUAAGACCUCGCGCCUGAAGAGGAGCCUGCGGCAGAUUAGCUAGUU